CAGCAGCCGCGGUAAUACCGGCAGCUCGAGUGGUAGCCGCGUUUAUUGGGCCUAAAGCGUCCGUAGCCGGUCCGAUAAGUCUCUGGUGAAAGCCCACAGCUCAACUGUGGGAAUCGCUGGAGAUACUAUCGGACUUGAGGCCGGGAGAGGCUGGAGGUACUCCCAGGGUAGGGGUGAAAUCCUAUAAUCCUGGGAGGACCACCUGUGGCGAAGGCGUCCAGCUGGAACGGACCUGACGGUGAGGGACGAAAGCCAGGGGCGCGAACCGGAUUAGAUACCCGGGUAGUCCUGGCCGUAAACGAUGCGGACUUGGUGUUGGGAUGGCUUUGAGCUGUCCCAGUGCCGAAGGGAAGCUGUUAAGUCCGCCGCCUGGGAAGUACGGCCGCAAGGCUGAAACUUAAAGGAAUUGGCGGG
rnacentral:rRNA from 1 species